GCGUUGAUGGUUCAGUGGUAGAAGUCUCACCUUCCACGUGGGAGACCUGAGUUCCGUUCCUGGUCAGCGCA
rnacentral:tRNA from 1 species